CUGGAAGCCAGUUGCCUCAGCCCAAGGUUUCAUAGUCCAUUCAAACACAGGCUCAAGGGGAAAUUUUCAGAACUCUGUAUUACAAAUGCCUCUCCGAACUCAAACCAUUUGGUUGCAUUUUUAACCACCUCUAGACUGUCCCAGGGGAAACAAGGUAAGCUAGUAUGAACUGUUUCCUUCAAAAACAUAUCUCUAAUUUAUUAAAAUGACUUUCAAAUCUAGUCUUAAUUUCA